GACGAACGCUGGCGGCGUGCCUAAUACAUGCAAGUAGAACGCUGAAGCGAGGAGCUUGCUCUUCUUGGAUGAGUUGCGAACGGGUGAGUAACGCGUAGGUAACCUGCCUUGUAGCGGGGGAUAACUAUUGGAAACGAUAGCUAAUACCGCAUAACAAUGGAUGACACAUGUCCUUUAUUUGAAAGGGGCAAUUGCUCCACUACAAGAUGGACCUGCGUUGUAUUAGCUAGUAGGUGAGGUAAUGGCUCACCUAGGCGACGAUACAUAGCCGACCUGAGAGGGUGAUCGGCCACACUGGGACUGAGACACGGCCCAGACUCCUACGGGAGGCAGCAGUAGGGAAUCUUCGGCAAUGGGGGCAACCCUGACCGAGCAACGCCGCGUGAGUGAAGAAGGUUUUCGGAUCGUAAAGCUCUGUUGUAAGUCAAGAACGGGUGUGAGAGUGGAAAGUUCACACUGUGACGGUAGCUUACCAGAAAGGGACGGCUAACUACGUG
rnacentral:rRNA from 1 species